rnacentral:misc_RNA from 1 species
GUAUGCGGCUUAGUAGAAGUUAAUUGAUUGUUUCUACUUGCAUUUUUAGUAUUGCCUUUUGAAUUUAUGCCAUGUCUAUGUUACAGUGAGGAGUUUCGAAAGACUUUCAAGAAAGAGAAUCCUAAUGUGACAUCUGUAGCUGCUGUAAGCAAUAAAUGAAUUUUGACCAUUUUAUAUGUUAGAUUUUAUUUUGAUUUCCAUUUCAUGGUCCAAGCUCUUUGAAGUUAGAGAUUGAUUCCUUGGCAUCAUUCUAUAAUUGAAG